rnacentral:rRNA from 1 species
UACGAAGGGGGCUAGCGUUGCUCGGAAUUACUGGGCGUAGAGGGCGCGUAGGCGGACAGUUUAGUCGGAGGUGAAAGCCCAGGGCUCAACCUUGGAAUUGCCUUUGAUACUGGCUGUCUUGAGUUCGGGAGAGGUGAGUGGAAUGCCGAGUGUAGAGGUGAAAUUCGUAGAUAUUCGGCGGAACACCAGUGGCGAAGGCGACUCACUGGCCCGAUACUGACGCUGAGGCGCGAAAGCGUGGGGAGCAAACAGG